UGGAAAAAAUUAAAUAAUUUGACCCUACCGUAUUGGUGGCUUCCAUCAAAAAAAUAAAUGAGGAUCUCACAAAUGAAUGUUUGAAGCUGAACAAAUACUCCAUCGAUUACAAACUGAUCUUGAAAGGUUAACAAAUAAUGGAAAUGGACUAACUUUUUAUGUAUGCGUUUGUGUGUGUGUGUGUGUAUAUAUGUAUAUGUAAUGUAUUCUUCCAAAGAAUCUUUACGGUCUCUGAGAAGAAAAGAAAGUUUAUUUCAAGAUGAAUUUUUCUUUAUCUCUGGGCCUUCUGAACUUCUACCUCUAUCAUUAGUCGACUGUUCUCAGUCAAUCUGUGAAAAUUCAACGAGAUGAGAGUUUUCAUCUUCAAUUUUUUUCCUCACAAUUACAUUUUUAGUUCUAACUUUGAUUUUGCCAAAACCACUGAGACAUUUUCCAUGUCUGUUUUUGUAUCUUCCUAUUUUCUGACUCAUUGAUUCCUUUUAGUAGUUCUUCCUUCAUGUCCAAAAUACUUUGAUGAGCCAUCACAAUGUUCUCUGUUUCAAUCACAUUUUUUUUGAUUUUCUAGAAUAACAUUCCGUGCUUUUUUUGCUUUAUGUAACAAAUCUUUUUGACUCAAUUUGAAAGAUUCUGUUAAUGUACAGUUUCCUUGGCAAGGCAGUUCAUAGUCUUUGGCCAACUUAUCUAUUCAUUUUUUCGUCUUUUCUCUUGUGAUAUUUGGUUUAUUGUACAUGAAUUUCCAUAUUUUUCUUCAGACAUUCUGUCAACAAUCUCAGAAAUAUCUUUAUUUUCUUGUGACACUUUUUCCAAAAUAUUGGCUUUCUCUUCGGCAAUCUUUAGUCGUUUGGAAGAUAUUUCAAGCAGAUGGAAUGUUUUGUUCUUCACUUUCAAGUAGCUGGAUAUUAUCAUAAUCUGUCUUAUAAUUGAACAUUUUCUUCAGUUAACUGAUCAAAUUUACUAAAAAAAUCUUUCAAGUAUUCAUAGGUUUUAUAAUUUUGUUCUUCAUGCAUUGAAUUUUAUCUGUUAACUCUGCUUUCUCUUGAAAAACCUCACCAAAUUCUUCCGAAAAGUCUGCUUUCCUUUUGGAGACAUUCUCAAGUUGAAGAAAUUUUCACUUUCUUCUUCAUAACUCGAGUAAAAUAUGUGUUAUUUUACCAUUGAGUCGAUUUAUUUCUUUAGUUACAUCAUUGGAGAUUCUCCUAUCAACUGGAAGACUGAUGGAAUCUUCGAUUUUUCUUCAGCUCUUCUUUUUUUACUAGAUCAAACUGGCAAAAAUCUUUUUCUUUGUUGGUCGAAAGUAUAUACAAUGUAUGAAUCUUUACUGAUAAUCCUUCAUUUUCUAUAAUGGUCUUGUGUACAAAUCGUAGCUUGACAUCCCUCUCAUUCUGAGAAUUUCUUUUUUUUUUGACAAAUUUUUUAUAUAUUCCGAGAGUACUUUUAGCUGGCAAGUGGAUUUUUUCAAAUCUAUCGAAGCUGAUUUAUGUCUACUAUUCAGAUCGCCUUUCUCUGUAGUUGUUAAUUUCAAGGAAUACCUUGACUCAAUCAAUGUUGCAGAUAAAUUGAUAUUGUCUUAAUUGGUUCUUGAAAGUUUAUCAUUAUGAUUACUUUAUAUUUUUCACAAAUAUUGUUCCUUUCCAAAGUCAUGUUUUGCAGUGGACUUUUUUCAGUGGUUAAGUUUUCGCAUAGUUUUCUAUUAUCCUUCUCCAAAUAAUCCAGAUUUUUGGUAAGUUUGCCAUUUUUUGAAGUGCUAUUUUCUAAGUCUUGAAUGACCCGUGUGGGGAUACCUGUUAGCCCCCAUCGGGCGCGUCCCCGGGUGGCGGAUAGGGGUGGCCCUAGCCGGUUUAUUCGGUGGGUUGGAGAGAAGGAAAACCUCUCCCGCGGACCAACAGGCUUAUAUGGCCUUGUCCAAUGUGUUGAAUGAUCAGUACCGAAGGAUGAAUGAUACCUGGGCCUUAUCACGUAUCAUUAACGUAGCAUCUGUGAUACCAGACGACCUCUCGGUGUAUCCAGUCCUACAUAUGCAGGGAGAACCAUGGCUGUAGACAAACCAUUUCCCCAUAUUCGUGGGAACCUGAUGGAGUAUAAAAGUCUCCUGUGAGUUAGUACAUGAUCAUCUUCAAGGUUCUAAAUAGUCUUAUCAUCAGCACUGAUGUUGAGAGUCGUACAAAGGAACCUAAAAGAUAGAUAUUGCUUUUACGCAAGAACCGUGUGUGUUCACAGAAAGACAGUCGUAGAGUUGGGAGGAAGAGAUGAUUAUCUUUCCCCGAUAAAUGAACCUCAAAGACUCCAAGAAUAUAUUCACUUACCCAUAAAGUAAUAAACGUACUGCUUAACAAAUGUGAUUUCCAUUUGUUUUCAACCUCACAUAACAUAUGAGAAAAUUAAUCAUUCUUAGACUCGUAUGUCUGCGAAUCGGAACAAAGAGUUCAGUUAUCAGGAGUUUCAAUCCUAUUUCAUAUUCUAUGUCUUGACCUGUAUAUUAUUUUCUGGAUUUGAAGUAAUUUUAUUAAUGUCUUCUUUGAGUCCUUUGAAAAUUAUAUUAUUCUAUCGGAGAAUCGCUUUUCAUUUCGUCAAAUCUCCUCGAUAUUGCUUUCUUUCGAUUGGGAGAUUCAUGUAUCAUAGAUGAAUUUAAAUAUUCAGUCAAUAACUGUUGAUUUUCAAAAAUAGGCUAAUCAAUUUUUCAUUGGUUAUUCCAACUUGGUACCCAGUCCAAUCUCCCUCAACUACCAAUUUUUUUCUGCAAUAAUCUUGUUGAUAUCUUCUUUCAAGUAUUUAGACAAUUUUUCUCUUCAAAUUGAAAUAUUCCAGUGUCAAACCAAGGUUUGACACUGAUCACCCUGUCACCAAAAUAGACCUACUCUUAGUGCAAAAAUUACUGGUUUGAAUGUUAUUCCCAUAAAAUUGAAUACUUUGCCAAAGGUUUUAUCUUCUGGUUAUUAGUACGGAUAUAGACAAACUCAACAAUCUUACACUGAUUUCAUAAAACUGUACAUAAAUCUCUAUUUGUGGUAUUACAUUCAUGUAAACAAAAUGUAUGUGCCCAGAACCGAUAUCAUAAAAUCAGCCCUUCUGUCAGUUGGGCAAGCUAAUGAAAGAUAUUGCAGAUUUCAAUAGAGUAAUAAUCCGAAGGAGUCCCUUAAUACCACGAAUAGAGAUCUAUCAACAUUACACAUCUGAUACUUAAUUAAAGAAUAAUAAAGUGAUUAUGUCUGUCAAAAUGUAA